rnacentral:rRNA from 1 species
GAUGAACGCUGGCGGCGUGCCUAAUACAUGCAAGUCGAGCGAACGGACGAGAAGCUUGCUUCUCUGAUGUUAGCGGCGGACGGGUGAGUAACACGUGGAUAACCUACCUAUAAGACUGGGAUAACUUCGGGAAACCGUAGCUAAUACCGGAUAAUAUUUUGAACCGCAUGGUUCAAAAGUGAAAGACGGUCUUGCUGUCACUUAUAGAUGGAUCCGCGCUGCAUUAGCUAGUUGGUAAGGUAACGGCUUACCAAGGCAACGAUGCAUAGCCGACCUGAGAGGGUGAUUGGCCACACUGGAACUGAGACACGGUCCAGACUCCUACGGGAGGCAGCAGUAGGGAAUCUUCCGCAAUGGGCGAAAGCCUGACGGAGCAACGCCGCGUGAGUGAUGAAGGUCUUCGGAUCGUAAAACUCUGUUAUUAGUGAAGAACAUAUGUGUAAGUAACUGUGCAUAUCUUGACGGUACCUAAUCAGAAAGCCACGGCUAACUACGUG